UUGCAGCCCGUGGUGAGUGGCAGUUCCUUGUGCAGGUCAGCACAUGACUAGCAGUGUCGGAGGGUGGGGAGACAAGGUGGCAGCUGGCGAGGGACGUUGUAUGUGGUGGUGAAUGCAUGCUGUUGGUGCGCUGAAUUCCCGUACCCGUUCACGGCUAUCGGGAAACUACCAACAGCACAUGAUGCACUGCGCGAUGCUCGUCCUUCCUUCUCGUACGUAUCCUCACUACACUAUGACGAUGGACUAUGACGUUCUUUUCGGUGAUUAUGUGAUUGAUGGUGCUAUAUUUGUCUCCACCCUUUGCGAAGGUCCAUGCAUGGCUGACGAUUUGUCUUACUAGCUCCCGCCCAACGUCGCCUUCCUCUGCAGAUGUAUUUGUGUAGGCCCCACCAAGGCCCACCGGGGGAAGACCGCCGGUCGACAAGCGAUUCGGUUGGACCCGUUGAAAAACGCCAACAUCAAAUUCCAGGAUUUUCCGCAUUUACCCUAGACAGGCCAUCCCAAAGUAUGGACAAUUAUCUGAUUAGCUUUAGGCUGUCUAAAAUUCUUGUGUGAUGACUACAUUAUUGUGCUUCGGUUGCGUGUGCUCUGACGACGACAGGUAGUUGUCCGGCUUAAUUGGGAUAGUGUGUAUGGGCC
rnacentral:lncRNA from 1 species